rnacentral:rRNA from 1 species
UGCACUUCCUGGUUGACGGGCCAACAUCGAUUUUGGCCGGCGGAUAAAGGCAUGGGGAAUGUGGCACCUCCGGGUGUGUUAUAGCCCUGUGUCAUACACGUCGGCUGGGAUCGAGGACUGCAGCACGCCUUUAUGGCCGGGGUUCGCCCACGUAACGUGCUUAGGAUGUUGGCAUAAUGGCUUUAAACGA